UACGUAGGGGGCAAGCGUUGUCCGGAAUCAUUGGGCGUAAAGAGCGUGUAGGCGGUCCGGUAAGUCGGCUGUGAAAGUCCAGGGCUCAACCCUGGGAUGCCGGUCGAUACUGCCGGACUAGAGUUCGGAAGAGGCGAGUGGAAUUCCCGGUGUAGCGGUGAAAUGCGCAGAUAUCGGGAGGAACCCCUAUGGCGAAGGCAGCUCGCUGGGACGUUACUGACGCUGAGACGCGAAAGCGUGGGGAGCAAACAGG
rnacentral:rRNA from 1 species